GCUAAUCGUCAAAGAAUAUUUAUAAUAAAUGGACACAACGAUAGAUAAUGAGAAUUUACCGAGGGGAUUUUUUAAUAACAUCAAACAAAAUUAUGGAGAAAAAGUUGUAAAACAUAUUAAGGGUUACCAACAGAAGUAGAAAGUAUCCUGAAAUUGGAACCUAAAUUUGGGGUGGAGACAAAAAAUAAUAUGAAGUAUCUACCUACGGUUAUCAAGGACGUUGAGUAUGGUAUUGCAUCGGUAAAGGUAGAAAAUUGUGAAACCACUGAAGAAAAUAUUAAAAAUAAUUUAAGAUCCAGAGUAGUUAAUGUCAUUUCAAAUUUUUAUAAAAAGAAUAAAUUGAAUGAAAAACAUCAGAUAAUUAGAAAAAACUUAACGUAUACACGACGGUUCCUCAAGGAUAGACAAGAUUUGAUUGUUGCACGAUCAGAUAAAGGAAAAUGGAUAAAGACCCCACUAACAAGUUCGAGCGUAUAGGUAACAAUAUAGUCAAGAAGAUGAUGGGAUUAAAAUUAAUUGAUAAAUCACGUGCUGAAAGGUUGACGUCGAGGUACACGGUUGCUCCGCGGAUCUACGGUUUGAGGAAAACACAUAAGAAUACAUGUAAAUUGAGACCAGUAGUUAGCUGCAUAAACUCACCCAGUUACAAUUGUGACAUCCAUGUGGAGUGACGUGUUUUUCGGCCGUUAACAAAAAAAAAAAAAUUAAAAUUAAAAAACUAAUUGGAGGAUGUAAUUUAAUAAUCAAAAAUAUGUAUUGAUGCGACUAUAUACAUGAAAAUACAAGAGGUUGGAGAACAAAAUGUAAAUUUAAAGAGCAAUAACUA